UACGUAGGGGGCGAGCGUUAUCCGGAUUCACUGGGUGUAAAGGGAGCGUAGACGGCCAUGCAAGCCAGGGGUGAAAGCCCGGGGCCCAACCCCGGGACUGCCCUUGGAACUGCAUGGCUGGAGUGCGGGAGGGGCAGGCGGAAUUCCUGGUGUAGCGGUGAAAUGCGUAGAUAUCAGGAGGAACACCGGUGGCGAAGGCGGCCUGCUGGACUGCAACUGACGUUGAGGCCCGAAAGCGUGGGGAGCAAACGGG
rnacentral:rRNA from 1 species